UCAAUGCCUGAUUUAUUACGUCUCCCCGGGCCUCAUGAGCUUCAGCCUGAUUCUUUCUUGAUAACAUUUCUAGAUUGAACAAAGAGUCCCGUUUAUAACUCGGACCAAGGGACUACUAAUACCUCGCUCUUAUCUAGCGGUUUGCAGAUGUAGAGGGAAAAGGCCGUGUUCCUUUGCAUCCAUCUAAGAGCUUUAGGGUCCGUCUCUGAGUCAUCAAGCCCUUUUCUGUUCAUCUCUCACCAGGGCCAAUCUGGGCUUUCGACAGUCUUAGUGGAGAAGAAGGAAGGGUUGUGAGCAUCACUGGUUUCCUCUGUGGCCAGGCCCAUAUGGAAGCAGCAGCAGUGAUGGCCUUCCCCACAAGCCCCCGACUGGGAGCCUCGGGCAUGUAAAGCUGAGCAGGGCAGUCGUUCAGGGCCUUAACUCUUUUCGCUGUGGAGGGAUGUUUCGUCGGGCCCAGAUUCUGAUUUCCAUUCUGACGGUGUACAUCCAGGAAAGCUCUUUUGGAGACAGAUGAAUGAUUCCAGAUUUACUCUGACCUAGCUCAGCUCAGAACCUGCGUCAGAGGAAAUGUCCCUCCACGUGUAGAACGGCUGAGGUUUACGGUCCUGAUCCUGUGAGCUGAUCCGUUUGAGAAAAAUCCAUCAACUCUCAUCUGCCUCUGUGGCCGCUCACAGGGUUUCUCUCGGGCAUUUCUCCUUAGGGAUGUUCCAGCUAAGUGAAACUGGAGUAGAAUCUCUGACAUGCUUGUAAAUCCUGCAGCCUUAGAAUGUAGAGAGCUCACUAUCGACACCUGCUGGUGCACAGAGAGAAGAGGCCAGACCUGCUUGGCAGCUUCAGAUGGACCACAG